rnacentral:rRNA from 1 species
AUCCAUUUUCUGCCACCGAAUACAUUAGCAUGGGAUAAUGGAAUAGGACCCUGUCCUCCUAUUUUCAGUUGGUUUUGGCAGCGCGAGGACUAGGGUAAUGAUUAAUAGGGAUAGUUGGGGGCAUUAAUAUUUAAUUGUCAGAGGUGAAAUUCUUGGAUUUAUGAAAGAUUAACUUCUGCGAAAGCAUCUGCCAAGGAUGUUUUCAUUAAUCAAGAACGAAAGUUAGGGGAUCGAAGACGAUCAGAUACCGUCGUAGUCUUAACCAUAAACGAUGCCGACCAGCGAUUAGGAGACGUUGAAUACAAAACACCACCAUCGGCGCGGUCGUCCUUGGCGUCUGUCCCUUUCAACGGGGGCAGGCGCGAGGGCGGUUUAGCCCGGUGGCACCGGUGAAUGACUCCCUAGCAGCUUGUGAGAA